CAGCAGCCGCGGUAAUACGAAGGGUGCAAGCGUUAAUCGGAAUUACUGGGCGUAAAGCGUGCGUAGGCGGUUUGUUAAGUCUGUUGUGAAAUCCCCGGGCUCAACCUGGGAAUGGCGAUGGAUACUGGCAAGCUAGAGUGUGUCAGAGGAUGGUGGAAUUCCCGGUGUAGCGGUGAAAUGCGUAGAGAUCGGGAGGAACAUCAGUGGCGAAGGCGGCCAUCUGGGACAACACUGACGCUGAGGCACGAAAGCGUGGGGAGCAAACAGGAUUAGAUACCCGCGUAGUCCCUGUCUCUUAUAA
rnacentral:rRNA from 1 species